rnacentral:rRNA from 1 species
UACAGAGGGGGCAAGCGUUGUUCGGAAUUACUGGGCGUAAAGCGUGCGCAGGCGGGCUUUUAAGCCAGACGUGAAAUCCCCGGGCUUAACCUGGGAAUGGCGUUUGGGACUGGAAGUCUGGAGUGCGGCAGAGGAGACUGGAAUUCCUGGUGUAGCAGUGAAAUGCGUAGAUAUCAGGAGGAACACCGAUGGCGAAGGCAGGUCUCUGGGCUGACACUGACGCUCAUGCACGAAAGCGUGGGGAGCAAACAGG